rnacentral:tRNA from 1 species
GCAACGGUAGCUCAACAGGUAGAGCACUGGACUUUUAAUCCAGGGGUUGCGGGUUCGAAGCCCGCCCGUUGCACCA